rnacentral:rRNA from 1 species
CCUACGGGAGGCUGCAGUGGGGAAGAGUGCACAAUGGGGGAAACCCUGAUGCAGCGACGCCGCGUGAGCGAUGAAGUAUUGCGGUAUGUAAAGCUCGAGCAGCAGGGAAGAAAAUGACGGUACCUGACGAAGAAGCCCCGGCUAACUACGUGCCAGCAGCCGCGGUAAUACGGAGGGGGCAAGCGUUAGCCGGAUUUACUGGGUGGACAGGGCGCGGAGCCGGGCCGGCAAGCCAGAUGUGAAAGCCCGGGGCUCAACCCCGGGACUGCAUUUGGAACGGUAAGGCUCGCGUGUCGGAGAGGCAGGCGUAAUUCCUCGUGUAUCUGUGACCUGCGUAGAUCUUAGGAGGUCCACCAGUGGCGACGGCGGCCUGCUGGACGAUGACUGACGUUGAGGCUC